rnacentral:rRNA from 1 species
GACGAACGCUGGCGGCGUGCUUAACACAUGCAAGUCGAACGGUGAAGCGCCUUCCUUUUUGGUGGGUGUGGAUGAGUGGCGAACGGGUGAGUAACACGUGAGUAACCUGCCCCCUUCUUCUGGAUAACCGCAUGAAAGUGUGGCUAAUACGGGAUAUUCUGGGUCUGUCGCAUGAUGGGUCUGGGAAAGAUAUUGUUUCGGUGGGGGAUGGGCUCGCGGCCUAUCAGCUUGUUGGUGGGGUGAUGGCCUACCAAGGCGGUGACGGGUAGCCGGCCUGAGAGGGUGGACGGUCACACUGGGACUGAGAGACGGCCCAGACUCCUGAGGGAGGCAGCGGUGGGGAAUAGUGCACAAUGGGCGCAAGACUGAUGCAGCGACGCCGCGUGAGGGAUGGAGGCCUUCGGGUUGUGAACCUCUUUCGCGAGUGAAGCGGGCCUGCCUCGUUUGUGGGUGGGUUGACGGUAGCUUGAUAAGAAGCGCCGGCUAACUACGUG